GAGGAAAUCACACACCUGCAGUUUUACAGGGGCUGAGGUUGCUGUGUGGGAGUUGUAGUCACAUGAUGGAGUUCAGGCAGUAGACCAAGCUUUUUGUGACUACCUGCUGGACACUAAAUAGAGGAAUGCUCCUGGCUCAGAGUUGAGAAGAUGAAGGUUAAGGUGUACAUAGUGCUCAAUGUUGUGACCAGCUUUCAGUAUUCAGCAGAAACUGGAAGAUUCCAGACAAAGACAGAGUGUAAAGGGAACUGAAUAAAGACUUGAAGCUGG